UGUCAUCCUCUUUGUUUCCGGAAUAGUUU
rnacentral:piRNA from 1 species